rnacentral:rRNA from 1 species
CUACGGGGGGCUCCAGUGAGGAAUAUUGCACAAUGGAGGAAACUCUGAUGCAGCAACGCCGCGUGGAGGAUGACGCAUUUCGGUGUGUAAACUCCUUUUAUGAGUCAAGAAAAUGACGGUAGCUCAUGAAUAAGCACCGGCUAACUCCGUGCCAGCAGCCGCGGUAAUACGGAGGGUGCAAGCGUUACUCGGAAUCACUGGGCGUAAAGGACGCGUAGGCGGGAUAUCAAGUCAGGUGUGAAAUCCUACAGCUUAACUGUAGAACUGCACUUAAAACUGGUAACCUAGAGUAUGGGAGGGGGAGAUGGAAUUAGUGGUGUAGGGGUAAAAUCCGUAGAUAUCACUAGGAAUACCUAAAGCGAAGGCGAUCUCCUGGAACAUAACUGACGCUAAGGCGUGAAAGCGUGGGGAGCAAACAGGAUUAGAUACCCGUGUAGUC